UACGUAGGGAGCGAGCGUUGUCCGGAAUCAUUGGGCGUAAAGAGCAUGUAGGUGGAUCAAUUAGUCUGCUGUGAAAGUCAAAGGCUCAACCUUUGAAAGCCGGUGGAUACUGUUGAUCUAGAGUACGGAAGAGGCGAGUGGAAUUCCUGGUGUAGCGGUGGAAUGCGCAGAUAUCAGGAGGAACACCAAUAGCGAAGGCAGCUCGCUGGGACGUUACUGACACUGAGGAGCGAAAGCGUGGGGAGCAAACAGG
rnacentral:rRNA from 1 species